rnacentral:rRNA from 1 species
CUCCGCCCUCUCCAAUCAGCGAGCCGCCUCGUUUCUCUCGGGCCGGAGCGCCCUCCCUAACAGCCGAUCUCCAAAAUUUCCUGCCCCUCCUCGCUUCUCCAUCCUUCUCCGCCGAUCUCUCGCCGGAGCCCGGCCAGGCUCCGAGCUCACCGAGCCCAAACCCCUAUUUAUACCCCGCGGAGGCAGAGCGGCAUCCUCCAUUCCCAGGGUCAGCCAGCCGAGAGGGGGAUGACUUCGGAGAUGGGCCUCGUCCACUGCCUCCCGCUGCUCCUGCUGCUGCUCUCGGCCUCGGCCGUGGUCGCGGCCGCGGGCGGCGGGGAGAAGGACGUCUCGGCCUCGGACUACGAGGCGCGGUUCGAGGCGUGGUGCGCGGAGCACGGCAAGGCGUACGCGACGCCCGGGGAGCGCGCGGCGCGGCUCGCGGCCUUCGCGGAGAACGCGGCCUUCGUCGCGGCGCACAACGCCGGCGCCGCCGCCAAUAGCGGCGCGGGAGGAUCCCAGUCGUACACGCUCGCGCUCAACGCGUUCGCUGACCUCACGCACGACGAGUUCCGCGCCGCGCGCCUCGGGCGCCUCGCCGUCGGCCCGGUCCCCCUCGGGGAGCCGCGUUCGUCCGGGGGCUUCGAGGGCGGCGUGGGCGCCGUGCCCGACGCGCUCGACUGGAGGCAGAGCGGCGCCGUCACCAAGGUCAAGGACCAGGGCAGCUGCGGUGCUUGUUGGAGCUUCUCUGCUACAGGUGCCAUGGAAGGAAUAAACAAGAUCACGACGGGCUCUCUUCUCAGCCUUUCUGAACAGGAACUAAUCGAUUGUGACAGAUCCUACAAUGCUGGUUGUGGCGGUGGGCUCAUGACCUAUGCUUAUAAGUUUGUGAUUAAAAAUGGUGGGAUUGACACGGAGGAUGAUUACCCGUUUCGUGAAGCAGAUGGAACAUGCAACAAGAACAAGCUGAAAAAGCAUGUGGUAACAAUCGAUGGCUACAAGGAGGUGCCUCCUAGCAAGGAAGACUUGUUACUACAAGCUGUUGCCCAGCAACCCAUUAGCGUAGGAAUAUGUGGCAGCGCUAGAGCAUUUCAGCUAUACUCCCAGGGUAUCUUCGAUGGUCCAUGCCCAACAUCUCUUGAUCAUGCUGUCCUAAUUGUGGGAUAUGGUUCUGAAGGUGGCAAGGAUUAUUGGAUUGUGAAAAAUUCCUGGGGUGAAAGAUGGGGAAUGAAGGGCUAUAUGCAUAUGCACCGAAACACUGGCUCAUCGUCAGGUAUCUGUGGCAUAAACAUGAUGGCAUCUUUCCCCACAAAAACAAGCCCGAAUCCUCCUCCUUCACCUGGCCCUGGCCCAACCAAAUGCAGCGUUUUUACCUCCUGCCCUGAAGGAUCCACCUGCUGUUGCUCAUGGCGUGCCUUGGGAUUCUGCCUUUCCUGGAGCUGUUGCGAGCUGGAUAAUGCAGUUUGCUGCAGUGAUAACCGUUCUUGUUGCCCCCAUGACUAUCCUAUAUGUGAUACAGCUAGGGGACGUUGCUUGAAGGGCAAUGGCAACUUCUCCAGCAUAGAGGGAAUCAAGAGGAAGCAAGCUUUCUCCAAGGUUCCCUCUUGGAAUGGUUUGUUGGAACUGCUGGAUCAAUAGACAUACAAAAAAUUACGGAUCACAGACAGAUACACAUGUGCGCAUGAUCUUAUACAAGCGGCGGGGGUUCGCUGCGUUCUUGAAGUGUUCUGCCGCAUUGUAUGCUCCCAUAGUCUCUAUCUGCUGGCUGUCUUGCAGAGCUGUCCAAUGUCGUUAUGAGAGACAAAAAGGAGAUGUCCAGAACUCCAAAAUUUUAGUGUGUAUUGGUGAGUCAUCGCAGCUGGUACUGUAUUGUAUAUUUCCAUGAUAGUACGUGUCAGGUACUCAGGUUAGCCUAUGAUGGGUUCAGUCAGAUAUUGGUUACAUGGCACAGAUGGUUUAUUUGUACUCAGCUUGUACUAGAUGUGAGAGAACCGCCCAUAAUACAAUAAAGAGAUACGUGCAUCAGGUUCAGUAAUCUGUUUGUGGCUGUGUUUAUGCAACCAUUUUCGAACAAACUGUACAACCAUGGUGACCAUGGUUAAUCUUUGUUUAACCUGCUAUAUAUGGUUAAUCUUAACAUGGUCACAUUGUUCAUCUUUUUUUUGAAGCUUCUUGGGUUAGCCUUUGCUUCGCCGGAACCAAGAAGGUGAUGCUCAGCGAGGGACGCGUUCACCCACGGCUGGCCGCGCACCCGGUGCCGACAAGAGAGGGCAUCCUCGCACGGACGAACAUGUUCCCAACCUCGAUACACCGUCCAAAGGGGCAGCGCGCGGCGAGCCACCCAUCCCAGCCGAGCCACCUGCGCCGCCAGUUGGAUGCCUGACGGGAUGGGCAACGUUCGCCGGCUCCGGUUGGAGCACGCGCGCCAAGUGCUUCACGAUUCCCCCGCGGCAAAGCCGUGCGACCACUGUAAACUCGGGGUGCCGUCCAGUUCAAAGCCCGCCAUCUCAAACUCGUGUUCUUCUCGGCGCCGUGUGCCAUCACCACCGCACUGCCAAAUUCGUUCCUUAUUCGUGUGCAGCUUGAGGCCGUGAACAGGGUGACAGUUUUCUACCCUGUCAACCAUCAAAAGUUACUCUCGAAAAAGGAUGACACGCAUCAAUAACACUACAUGAUCAACAUGUGCUCGCUCGCGAAAGGUUCGACAGGGAAUCCUGCAAAGAGCAUCAUGAGCGCCGCCAAUGGGAAGAGCCCCAUAGUGGUUGGGCCCUGGGGAGGGACAGGAGGAUGCCCCUGGGACGACGGCGUGUACUCGACGGUGUGCCAGAUCAUGAUCACCCAUGGUGCAGCCGUCGACUCGAUAAGAAUCCAGUAUGACCUGAAAGGACAAUCGGUCUGGUCACAGACGCACGGGAGCACCGAGGACGGGUCUGAAACAGAUAAGGUGAAGCUAGAUGUUCCCGGAGAAAUCCUUCUGUCCGUGAGCGGCUACUACGGAUCGGUCUGCGGCAGUCCGGUGAUCAUAAGAUCACUGACGUUCCAGAGCAACCGAUCCAAGUACGGACCCUUCGGCACCGAGGACGGGACGCCGUUCUCGCUCCCGGUGAGCAGCGGCAAGAUCAUCGGCUUCCAUGGGCGGUCCGGGUCGUACCUCAACUCCAUCGGCUUCUACCUGAAGCAAGUCCACGUCCCGAUCCCGAGUCCCCCGAGCUACCCAGCCUCGCCCCAGCUCCCGACGGCGGCGUACAGCAGAAAUGGCUAUACCGUCACCGAGGUUGACGAUGAGCAUGACAUGGCCCUAGCGGUGAGCAACCGGGCCGACAGCUACGCCGUUUACGGCACCGGUUACCCUAAGCAGCAGUACGCGCAUCCGUCUCCGGACUACCACGAUGGAUCGAUCAUGAAUAAGAUGGUUUCGUACCCUAGCUCGUACAGGGCGGCCGUGAGCGGGCCGGAGACGCACGGCCCGUGGGGCGGCAGCGGCGGCACCAUCUUCGACGACGGCGUGUACACCGGCGUGUGGCAGAUCAACCUGACCCGCGCGGUGGGGGUCACCUCCAUGAAGGUGCUCUACGACCGGCACGGGCAGGCCGUGUGGGGCAACAAGCACGGCUUCAGCAGCGGCGUCCCACCCGACAAAAUCGCGUUCGACUUCCCGUCGGAGGUGCUGACCCACAUCACCGGCUACUACGGCCCGACGAUCAUCAUGGGUCCGACGGCGGUGAGGUCGCUGACGUUCCACACUAACCGGCGGCGGUACGGCCCCUACGGGGACGAGUACGGCACCUACUUCUCCACCAGCUUCGCCGACGGGCGGGUCGUGGGGUUCCACGGCCGGGAGGGCUGGUACAUCGACGGCAUCGGCGUGCAUGUCCAGCGGGGCAAGGUGCCGUCGUCCCUCAGGCGGGCCGCCAGCAGGAGCCCGUCGCCGGCGCCGCGGUCCGACUACGACCCGAGCGACGUGGACGAGGAGGUUCCCUACGCGGCCAUGGUGAAGGAGCCGGCGGCGGCGGGGCCGGGGCCGUGGGGCGGGCCGGGGGGCCGGGCGUGGGACGACGGCGUGUACGCCGGCGUGAACCAGGUGUACGUGACGCGGGGCGCCCUCAUCGGCUCCAUCCAGAUCCAGUACGACCGGGGCGACCGGUCGGAGUGGUCGGCACGGCACGGCACCAGCGGCCACAUCACCCACCGGGUGAAGCUGGACGCGCCGCACGAGGUGCUCACCUGCGUGCGCGGCUACUACAACGCCGACCCGGCCGAGGGGCCCCGCGCGCUGCGCUCCAUCACCUUCGUCAGCAACCGCGGCAGGUACGGGCCGUUCGGGGACGAGGUCGGCACGUACUUCUCGUCGCCGGCGACGGCCGAGGGGAAGGUGGUCGGGUUCCAUGGCCGGAGCGGGCAGCACCUCGACGCCAUCGGGGUGCACAUGCAGCACUGGCAAGGGGACCGCCGGGCCGCGCCCAAAUACGUCCUGUCAAAGUACCUCUUCUGAGUGAUACGAGACGGCCAAUAAUCCUAGACGUACAGGCCGUUUACAGGGUUGUUACAGAGC